CACCAAAGAUAUUCAAAAGAUCAAAGAUCUGUUUAAAGAUCUAUUUAAAAGCCUUGAUCUUCUAUUAAUAUUUUCUCACAAAAUCAUCAUAAAAAUUUCUUUAAUUUCUCUAUGUUCUGUUGUUCACCGAUGGUUCUUCUUUACUUUGGGCAUCAAAAUCAGAUCAAAAUCUGUCAAAAAGCCAAGUAAAUCUCUUCAAUUCUCCUCCUUCAAUCUGCUAUAGAUUUUAAGCUUGAGUUUUUACCGAUUUAUUGUCAGAAAAAUUCUUGAAAUCUUAGUUGAGCAAGUUCUCUUGUUUUUUUUUUUUGGAUCUUUCCGGUACUAUUGGGCCGCCGUCGGUCAUCGGAGCCUGUGGUUGUCAUCGUCCAGUCAUCGGGCACCACCCCUUUAAUUGUGGGUGGUG
rnacentral:lncRNA from 1 species